AAUAAAAUUAUGCUAUUUUGGCAGAAAAAAUGUAAUGGUUUUAGAAGUCAUAAAUGUAUAAUUAAUUUAUAUAAA
rnacentral:tRNA from 1 species